UGAAACCUGGGAUGUUCGUGGAGCCCCUGUAAAUUCAACCUACAGAUUGUAUUCGGGAGUUUGCGUUCCUUUAUGGAUGAAAUGCCUCCUUUGCGUGGACUUCAAAAGUAAAGGACAGGACACCCACCUAGUUGAGGCUAGGGUGUGAAUUUAGAGGCUAGCGGCAUUCUGGGAGAAAA
rnacentral:other from 1 species